GAUGAACGCUGGCGGCGUGCCUAAUACAUGCAAGUCGAGCGAACGGACGAGAAGCUUGCUUCUCUGAUGUUAGCGGCGGACGGGUGAGUAACACGUGGAUAACCUACCUAUAAGACUGGGAUAACUUCGGGAAACCGGAUCUAAUACCGGAUAAUAUUUUGAACCGCAUGGUUCAAAAGUGAAAGACGGUCUUUCUGUCACUUAUAGAUGGAUCCGCGCUGCAUUAGCUAGUUGGUAAGGUAACGGCUUACCAAGGCAACGAUGGAUAGCCGACCUGAGAGGGUGAUCGGCCACACUGGAACUGAGACACGGUCCAGACUCCUACGGGAGGCAGCAGUAGGGAAUCUUCCGCAAUGGGCGAAAGCCUGACGGAGCAACGCCGCGUGAGUGAUGAAGGUCUUCGGAUCGUAAAACUCUGUUAUUAGGGAAGAACAUAUGUGUAAGUAACUGUGCACAUCUUGACGGUACCUAAUCAGAAAGCCACGGCUAACUACGUG
rnacentral:rRNA from 1 species